AGAACUCUGUUUCUCUCUUCUAUGUAUUGUCGCUGGUGCAAAGCUUUUUUCUUUUUAUAUAAGAAAAGCAAAGCAAAAAAUAGCUAUUGCUUUUCAUUUUUAUUUUUGAUAUAACAAAUAUUUCAUGUUUUUUGUAAAAGGCGAAAGAUUUAUCCUUUAUGGGAAUGAAGAGAAUAUGAUGUGAAAGCUUAUGUUUGGUUCAGUUUCCAUGUUCAUACAUCUUUACAUUAAUAAAGCUGCCCUGCAAGAAAUACUCAACUUCUAAAAGUUUUCAGAUUUUGUAAACUUGAAAAUUAGAUUUCUACAUUUUAAUCUAAAUAUUAGUAUUUUAGACCAUCUAUAGUUACUGAACAUUUUUAACGAUGACAUUAACCACUUUCAGCAAUAUGUAGAAAUAGAAAUAAGGACUAAAAUAUAUUGCUUACAUUGACAGAAUAUUAUUUAUUGUGGUAGUAAAUUUAAUCUUUUUUUUUUUUUUUUACAAUGUUUAUUCAUUAUUCCUGGUAGAUUUACACCAGCUUACUAAAGUUUCUUGGUUAACCCCUUAUUUCAAGCAGUACAAUGAAUGGGCAGAGCUUUUAAUUGACACCAUAUUUUUGUUUUGGCAUUUAACCAGUUGGUUAACACAUCUUGUUUUCUUUUAGUCGUAAGUUGUAACGAAAUGUUCAGUCAAAAUGUGAACUGACCAGUAAAAUUUUGUUUGUAUUUUUCUUGUUUAGGAUUGCCAGGCUGACAAAUUCAGACUAUAGAGGGAAUGAAAGUGUGUCAAGAAAAGGGAUCAACAACCACCAGUUUAAUCAGAUCUUUAAUAUUUGUCACUUUUCUAAUGUCCCAGCUUAUUCUAAUAACUAAUUAGUACUCCCACUUUACAGGUCCAGUGUGCUAGGUUUAAAUCCAGCACCUGAUUGUCUGCAUAGUGUUUGCAUGUUUUCCAUGCAUCUUUGUGCUUUUCUUCUGGGUACACUAAUUUUUCUACUGCAUCAUCCAAGCAGUGCAGGUUUGUUUAGAUGUUCCUGGUUUGACUGUGGGUGUGUGCGCUGGAGGACGCUGCAGUGGAUUGGCCCUUUUCCUGCGUUGUGCCCAGGAUUUCCAGGAUAGGCACUUGCUCCAUGAUCCUCUGAAUUGGAGUUUGCAGAUUUCAGAAUGCCUAUUCCAGUUGUUAGUUUGUCAGUGACCAGAGUACAAAGAGAGCCAUAUUGUUUGAAACUCCCUUGCGCUCAGUGCAGCCAUUAUGCACACCUGGUUCAUAUGACCCUAAGCCAGAGAAGCCUAUUAGAAAAUGAACCGAUUUUUGAACAGACCAGUUCACCCCUAUCCAUUUAAUUCAGUGGAUAGGUGCAAAUUUAUUCUCAUUAUCAUUUCUAAGUCCCUGAUCUUUCUAACUCCCUUUUCCAAAUUUAUGGUGUUACAAGUUCAAUGAUGUCACAUUUUACAAUGCAUUUAUCUGCUCAUUCAAGUAUUUGUUGAAAAAUUAACAGUCUCAAUAAUCAAGUUUACACGGUCUUACACUUUUUGGACUUAAUACCCUAUAUGUUUUCUUUUGAACAAAAAUCUGUGUUAUGCAUUAUAGUCUCAUCACUCUUUUGAUUUGUAACAGAUUUUUGUAUAAUUAAUGUGUAAUUGUUUCUUUAAUAGCCAACUAAGAUAAUUGCUAUCCAUACUCAGUAGUUACAGUACUGUUGAUUAUUACACUCUUCUUAACCGCCAGUGUUGCUAGUAAUAUGUUAAAAGUAAUGCAGUCAAAUUACUUUUUAAGUAACGUAUAACAUAAUGUAAUACUUAUUUUCUUGACGAAAAAAGUACCUGCAUGCUACAGCUGUCUGUCUAGCGGAGAAGCAGUUGAUUGCAUACGUAAUGUGUAAUCAAGCGAAAAGAACCGAACAAAUGUUAAAAGUAUACAUCCAUCCAUCCAUCCAUUAUCCAACCCGCUGAAUCCAAACACAGGGUCACGGGGGUCUGCUGGAGCCAUUCCCAGCCAACACAGGGCACAAGGCAGGAACCAAUCCCGGGCAGGGUGCCAACCCACCGCAGGACACACACAAGCACACCCACACACCAAGCACACACUAGGGACAAUUUAGAAUCGCCAAUCCACCCAACCUGCAUGUCUUUGGACUGUGGGAGGAAACCGGAGUGCCCGGAGGAAACCCACGCAGACACGGGGAGAACAUGCAAACUCCACACAGGGAGGACCCGGGAAGCGAACCCAGGUCCCCAGGUCUCCCAACUGCGAUGCAGCAGCGCUACCCACUGUGCCACCGUGCCGCCCAACAAGUAUACAAUUGCACUUAAUCUUGCAUUUGCUGAGGGAUAAAUUAAAUCCGGCCAGUUAGGGUGACAGAGACCCAGUAUCCAUCACAGCAGCACUGGUGUAAGACAUGAGGUCAUUGGGCUUUUAGCAGCUGGUACACAAUAAAGGUGCUCUUCAAGGGCAGUGUUCAUGCCGCCCAAUACCCCUCAGCUUCAUAGUGUGCUUCUUUCUAUAUCUGGCUUCUCCAGGUAUUCUCACACACUCAGACUGGUCUUGGCUACCUGAGGAGCAUGUUUCUCCCAUGGCUGGACCUGGAACGCAAAAAUAUAUAUCAAACACAAGAAAAUGUUCAAAUUUGCCUGUUUUUCUGGUCAGUUUAAUGAAGGUUCAUAGGUUUAGGAUGUAAUAACAAAUACUGGCAUGUAAAAUAUACAGUUUUUUAUAGAAAAGUAGAAAAAGUACUUUUUGUAACACAUUACAUUUUAUAAGUAACUGGAACAUAUUUAUUCUUCUUGUAAAUAAUGUGUAAUGCGACUAAGUUACUUUUAAAAGAUACAUUCCCCAACACUGAUCACCACUGAGUUUUUUUUUUUUUAGUAAUUGUGGAAUUUGCAGUGACUUAUUAUGAAGAGAAGAAAAGACUUUUAGGUUCAUUGGGUGUUAUGGUGUGGUGUGGUGUAGGUCUCGAUUAUUAAGCCAGCGACUUUUACUGGGUUGUGCAGAUUUAUUUAUUUUUUUGCUGUUAAUAUAGGGAUUCAUCCUAGAUCUCCUGAGAAAACAAUACUUUUUCAGUCUUUCUAACAUAAUCAUUACCUGACCAGUAGUGGUUCUGACAGUGUUGAUAUGGAAUGCUAGAGCAGUGGUUCCCAACUGGGGAGCCCCAGUAAACUUCGGGGGGUGGCAUAUGAUGACUUGAAUCACUAAACAUCAUUUAUUGUUUUAAAGAAGACUGCUUCAUCAAUAUUCCACAUCAUGUGUAGAUAGAGUUCAGGUGAACUCCCCACAUAUGCACAGCUAUUCAGGGUGUAGUGGUCACUUGUGUUUUUUUUUUUUUUUUUUUUUUGCACAGCACAUAGCACCAUAGCUACUAACCUGUAGUUAAAACAGGUAUGGGGUGUUCAUAAUAAUAAAAAAACGAAGUUAAAAAAAAAAAAAAAAGGUAACAAAUCAUACUGCCUUAGAAAAGUUAAGUGUUUUAGCAAGAUAGAAAAAAAUGUGUCUGUCUCAUGAUAAGAUAGUAGGUUGACUUCAGACACGUUGCUGCUGCAUCCAUGCACCGGUGUCUGCGGCUUAUCUGACUGCUACUACAGCCUUAUGCGAUUCUGUUGUUUUCUGUUGACUUGGUUGUUGUAUAUGUAGAGAAAAUGCAUUUGCAUUUCCUCUCAUGUUAAAUGUGGCUGUUGCAGAUGGAGCUCCAGAAUUGAAUCCAAAUGGUGACAACAUUGCUUUGAUAAUUAUGUUAUGAAAAACAUCUCUACUGCAAUUAGUUCUACAUUAUAAUAAUGAGUUUUGUGCAUGUUUUUCUUUUUACAGAAAAACUUGUUUUAUAAAAUAAAGCUUAAAAUAAUGCUUGAGCCAAGUGAGUAGUGAGCAGCUUUUGCGGUUAAUAUUUAUCUUUACAAAUGCCAAAUCAUUUUAUAUUACGACAAAGAAAUUCAGGCACUAGUAAAAAUAACUUUUAUUAAAUAAUAAUAUACAAGCAGUUCAGAUAAUUUUGUAUUGUGAUUUAAAACCGCACAGGCAUUGUAAUAACACUAGCUGCAAACAAUCUUUUUCUUAAUAAAUUUUUCAGACAGUGGCAAAAGUAUAAGAGGGUCAAUAUCCUGGUCUGUGUGUGGGGCCAUCACAUAUUCUAGCGGUACUCUAGGCGAUCAUAGAAGAAUAAAGGUUGAGAAACCACCAUGUUAGAGGAUUUAGGUUGAAUGCUUGUAAAUCAAUAUUUUAACAUAUUUGUUCAAUUUGAAGUAUGUUUGUGAUUGUUCAUUUUUGAAGUAGUGAUUGUUCAUUUAUGCCCACAAAUACAUAUGUACAUUUAUAUUUAUGGAACAUGUCACUUCUUAUAUAAAAAUAACAUUAAUGAGACAUUGCAAGAAACAAAAUGUGAAAAUGUAUGCAGAGGUCUGAGUACUUUUGGAGGGCACUUUAAUUAACAAUGAUUGUACAGGAGAAUAAUGAAUAAAAGUGUAGCUACUUUUCUUGCAAUGUGUUCUGUUAAUGAAUAUUACAAACAAAACAGAGCACUCAGUCUGCAUUUUUUUAUACUUGUUUGCAUUUUCAAGAUUUUGUGUG